rnacentral:rRNA from 1 species
GAUGAACGCUAGCUACAGGCUUAACACAUGCAAGUCGAGGGGUAGCAGGGUAGCAAGUACCGCUGACGACCGGCGCACGGGUGAGUAACACGUAUCCAACCUUCCCAGUAACUCGUGGGAUAGCCUUUCGAAAGAAAGAUUAAUACCGGAUAGUACUUUUUCAAGGCAUCUUGAAAAAGUUAAAGAUUUAUUGGUUAUGGAUGGGGAUGCGUUCCAUUAGAUAGUUGGUGAGGUAACGGCUCACCAAGUCUUCGAUGGAUAGGGGUUCUGAGAGGAAGGUCCCCCACAUUGGUACUGAGACACGGACCAAACUCCUACGGGAGGCAGCAGUGGGGAAUAUUGCGCAAUGGGGGAAACCCUGACGCAGCAACGCCGCGUGGAGGAAGAAGGUCUUCGGAUUGUAAACUCCUGUCUUCUGGGACGAAGUAUGACGGUACCAGAGGAGGAAGCCACGGCUAACUACGUG